UUAUUGUGGAAAUUCAUUUGAAGGCAAGCAAGUCGAAAUCGAGCACAGCUGUCCGAUGUUUCCCUGUGCAGAGGAACAGGUUAUACUCAGGUGUUCUCUAGCCUUGUUCUAGUGUGUUCUCAGCUUUAUCUUCUGUCUUCAUCUCCUUUGCUGCUCUGCUCUUAUCUGCUGAAGAAAAGUCCAAGAUAAACAUCUCAGUGAGAUUCCCACAAAAGCAUAAUGGUUCUUUGGUGGACAAGAACUGUUCUAAACCAGUCAAGUUUCUGAGCCUUCUUAUGGAAGAAGCAGAAGUUUCACUAGGCUUUGGUGGAGAGAUGACAAAUUCAGUGCCACACAGUUUGUGAAGGAGCAUUUCUGUUUUUCCAGCAUUCUCAAAUAAAUGUCAUUUCAAACAGCUGUUGAUAGCGUUA
ensembl:lncRNA